rnacentral:rRNA from 1 species
AACGAACGCUGGCGGCAGGCCUAACACAUGCAAGUCGAACGAGACCUUCGGGUUUAGUGGCGCACGGGUGCGUAACGCGUGGGAACCUGCCCUUAGGUUCGGAAUAACUCCCCGAAAGGGGUGCUAAUACCGGAUAAUCUCUUCGGACCAAAGAUUUAUCGCCUUUGGAUGGGCCCGCGUUGGAUUAGCUAGUUGGUAGGGUAAAAGCCUACCAAGGCGACGAUCCAUAGCUGGUCUGAGAGGAUGAUCAGCCACACUGGGACUGAGACACGGCCCAGACUCCUACGGGAGGCAGCAGUGGGGAAUAUUGGACAAUGGGCGAAAGCCUGAUCCAGCCAUGCCGCGUGAGUGAUGAAGGCCUUAGGGUUGUAAAGCUCUUUUAGCCGGGAUGAUAAUGACGGUACCGGGAGAAUAAGCUCCGGCUAACUCCGUG